UAGUGAACUGCACAGGACUGGGGGAAGAAAAGGUAAAAGCGUCUGUAGCCACAUUACGAUUAGAGCGCUGCAAGUCCGCAGACGGACACCGACCGCAGUGAAAUCAGCCGUCUGCACUGUGAAUCCAGAAAUGGCCUGCAUUAUCCUGAGAUCGCAUUCUGCUUUUGCAUUUUACCAUCAAGACUACUUGCCCUCGUGUUGGAUUGCAGCUGGUCCCUUGCGAUCACCUAUAUCAGGUUAAGGGAGCACCCAGUCAUGAGGCUCUGCACAAGGACAAACCUAUGAGGUGGCACUGUGGCUUUCCAAAUAAAGUUCUGUGAUACACUUAGACUCUAAUUGCCUGCAGUCAGUGCAUUACAGAACUUUGUUUUGGGAGUUAAUACUUUAUCCUGUGGGAAAUAAACCUUCAAACAUCUGGACCAUUGAGUUUACAGCAUGGUGCAACAUUUCUGUUGACAAAUAAUUGUUUUCUUUAAUAAAGUUUAAUUUGGUUUCAUCAAUUUUUUCA